AAUACUAACCUGCUGAAGAGCUGUCACUCCAACUUUCCAUCCUGGAAAUGUAUACAGAAGUUUACUACAAGAAGAAAAAUAGUUGAAAGCUUUUUUUUUGGAGGAAGACAAAAUCAGUUACACAUUUAAAAAAUGAAAUAAUAAUAGGUGAUAUUUAUGAAUUUCUUACUCUUCCACACAGUAUUCUGAUAAUUAAGCUAACGUCACAAGGCAAAACCUUUGGCAUAGAUAUUGACAGAUUUUAAGUUUUAACUAAACACAGACUACCCUAAGAUAAAGCAAAUAAAUUGUUAACUCUUACCUUCUGAAUAUAUGUGCCAAAUAAUAAGAAUGCUGUCAGUAUCAACAGAGAUAAUGUGGUCUCCAAAGGGUUGCAAGAGAUGGAUUUCUGCCUUAUGACCCUUAAAGGUAUGUACUAUCUACAACAUCAAAGUU